ensembl:lncRNA
UGACGAUGCAUUAUUAAAAGUACACCACUCAGCAGCAAGUGAUUAAAAUCAGCAUUCAACAAAUGUAGGAAUGAAUGCAUCAAUAAUUAUAAUCCAGUGAUAUAAUCACUAUUAUUCUGCAUGAAAAGUGCUUUUUAUUUUAGUUCUGUGAAGCUGCUACUUUGACACAUGAUUAAAAACAUGUUCUAUAAUCAAAACAAAAGCAAUGAAAACUCUCCAAAAGGUCUGUUUAGUGGCGGCUCUGGUGCUUUUGCUUAUGAAUAAUUAAACUGUAUUUAUUCAUAACGCAGCUUUAAAGAAUUCAAAUGAUCGUCAUAUAUUUUACAAGAAUCGAUGCAGUGUUUCACAUGUUUACGUUUUUUUUGUUCUUUUUAUUCUGUUUACUUGGUUUUAAGGUCAAGAACCAACUCGUGAACCACAUUUAAUUAAACUGAGUUUAUCAACAUGCUGUUUAUUACUUUUUGUCACUUAUCACUGUUAAUAACAUUUUGAACAGAUCUCAAGGCAGAAUCCUGCACUUUUUAUUGUAAAUACAUUGUUCAUAUAUUUCUGUGAGCUCUUUUUAAGUUGCUUGUUUUUCCCUCCACGUUAAAUCCCGUCCGAGUUCAUUUUCCAGCUGCAGUUUCCAUCCGGGGGGAAAUAUCGGCGUCCUCACCUGCUGAUGUCUUCAUGCGGGUGAUGUUACAGUCUCACAGCGACAGGAGCAGCAGAAGAAGAAAUAUGUUUACUGCACUUUAGCGGAGGUAGAAGAAGUUGAUCGAUUCUCGGGUGAGAAGUUAUCUCAGGAAAGAACCAACGAGAUUACCUUCAGAACACCUGCAAGGUGUGGAAGUAAACUGGAAAACCGUAGACAACACCUGGUGAACCGCGGCGCCGGGGGAGAGCGCCGGGCUCUCCGGCAACGCCUGUGUGUCCUGGGGGAGGCCGAACAAGAGUCGACAAGGACACCCAACACUCAAGUGUCUUGUGGACGACUGGGUGUCAGUCUGAUAGUUGUGAACAUCUGGGAAUCUGCUGACGUCUAUAUGGAGACACCUGCUUAUCAAUUGGACACCUGGACUGGCUGGACAUCCCUCCACCUUUGGUAAUCCGGGGGAACGUAACGAGUCUUCCUUUCUCUCCCAGUCUUCAUCAUCAAGCACCAAGAGUUUGCAUCGUUACAAUCUUCCUCCUCGGCGGCGGCGAGCACUCCCACCGGGGCUUCUGGGUAGCCAUCGGCGAGGGGGGGUCAACGAGGCAAACGGAGCGGUGGUGGAGCAGUCCGGUUCGGUCGGGUCUGACCCGGAUCAAAGAGAGGGAAGCUGUUCCCUGAUGGUUCACCUGCUUUAACCGGUGUUGGUGUGAUCUGAACCAAAGAGAAGAAAAGGAGCCGCUUUAUUAUUCAGAAGCUAAAUUAAUGCGCUGUGAGAGCGGAGCUGCAGCGCUGCGAGCUGAGGGUCAAAUACAUGCAAAUAUUAGCAUGUUGGGAUGCUCUUUAAACACUCCACCGUGCACGUGUGUGUGUGUGUUACGUAACGGGUGUGUUUGGAUUUAAUUAGCUCCCUACUUACAGUCUGAUAUUGGCUAAUGAAGCAGCAGAGUGUCCGUCGGUGAUGAAUGGGAGGCGUCAUCUUAAAACAUGAUAAAUCGGACUCGGCCCCUCUGGACAUCAAAAAACACGAAGCCGCCGGAGUGUGGGAUCAUGGGUAAAUGAGACCUGCAUGUUCCCCUCAGCGGGAAGGCGG